CAACGAAUACAAAAUAAUAAUUAUUUCUUACCAAUACGCGAAUUUUUCAGCACAACGUAGAUAUGGUAGUUGAAGGUUAAACUUUGACGUCUGUCAAGUACAAAUCUGAAAUGCAAAAAUAUCAUAUCAGAAACAAAGUGGAAUUGUAAAAUCGAAUCUCAAAUAAAUCAAUAAAUUCGUUCAUGAAAUGGCAAUGAAAUAUAAUUUCAAAUCAAAAUCUUGAUGAACUACACAGAUAACUAUGGCCCAGCAGUAACUGCGUACUAAUGCUUACCGCAAUGUCUCUCUCUCUCCUCUCCAGCUCCUUCUGUUUCUUCGGCAAGAGUUUACCUGUUGUCACUUCGGCUGUUGCGGCUAUACUGCCGUUGCGUCGGAAAGGAUCUGCGUACGAGAUGCUCCGGUGACCGAAAACCGAAUUACACGUUGGCAAUUAACUGUUAAAAGACUAUUUUUCGAGCUGAUCUUGGAGAUUUCAGGGUAUGGAAACACCAAAGACUAUAGCCUUUGCACAUUUUUCAGGGGGAAAAAACCAGAUUUAUUUCCCAUUUUUUCCGAUUGUUUUCGAUUUUUUCCCAAUUUUUGAAAAUAUUUUUGACUUGUGCCGCCCCUGGAUGGGUGCGGGCCCC
rnacentral:misc_RNA from 1 species